AUUGUAUACAUCUGAAAUGAAAUUAAGAAGUAAAUGAGAAAGCAUAUCAUUAUGAUUGAUUGAUUGGCUGACUGGUUGAGAUUCGUUUGUCCAUUUUUGUUUUUUCUUUUGAU
rnacentral:ribozyme from 13 species